CUGCCCUCAAGCACGGCUUGUGUGUUGGGCCUCCGCCCCCCGGCGCCCGGGGGGCGGGCCCGAAAGGCAGCGGCGGCACCGCGUCCGGUCCUCGAGCGUAUGGGGCUUCGUCACCCGCUCCGUAGGCCCGGCCGGCGCCCGCCGGCGACCCCCCUCAAUCUUUCCA
rnacentral:misc_RNA from 1 species